rnacentral:rRNA from 1 species
AUUGAACGCUGGCGGAAUGCUUUACACAUGCAAGUCGAACGGCAGCACGGACUUCGGUCUGGUGGCGAGUGGCGAACGGGUGAGUAAUGUAUCGGAACGUGCCCAGUCGUGGGGGAUAACGUAGUGAAAAUUACGCUAAUACCGCAUACGAUCUAUGAAUGAAAGCGGGGGAUCGCAAGACCUCGCGCGAUUGGAGCGGCCGAUAUCAGAUUAGGUAGUUGGUGAGGUAAAGGCCCACCAAGCCAACGAUCUGUAGCUGGUCUGAGAGGACGACCAGCCACACGGGAACUGAGACACGGUCCAGACUCCUACGGGAGGCAGCAGUGGGGAAUUUUGGACAAUGGGCGAAAGCCUGAUCCAGCCAUUCCGCGUGCAGGAUGAAGGCCCUCGGGUUGUAAACUGCUUUUGUACAGAACGAAAAGGUUUCUACUAAUACUAGGAGCUCAUGACGGUACUGUAAGAAUAAGCACCGGCUAACUACGUGCCAGCCGCCGCCGUAA